UACGGAGGGGGCUAGCGUUGUUCGGAAUCAUUGGGCGUAAAGGGCGCGUAGGCGGCUUGGUAAGUCCGUUGUGAAAUCCCUCGGCUCAACCGAGGAACUGCGACGGAUACUGCUUGGCUUGAGUCCCGGAGAGGGUAGCGGAAUUCCCAGUGUAGCGGUGAAAUGCGUAGAUAUUGGGAGGAACAUCGGUGGCGAAGGCGGCUACCUGGACGGGUACUGACGCUGAGGCGCGAAAGCUAGGGGAGCAAACAGG
rnacentral:rRNA from 1 species